GGUAGGUGUCGCCAAGUGGUAAGGCAAUGGUUUGUGGCGCCAUUAGUCGUGGGUUCAAUUCCCAUCAUCUACC
rnacentral:tRNA from 2 species